GAUGAAUGCUGGCGGCGUGCCUAACACAUGCAAGUCGAGCGGCAGCGCGGUCUUCGGACUGGCGGCGAGCGGCGGACGGCUGAGUAACGCGUGGGAACGUACCCCAAAGUGAGGAAUAACUGCCCGAAAGGGUAGCUAAUGCCGCAUAUGGUCUUCGAGUUAAAGGAUUUAUCCGCUUUUGGAACGGCCUGCGUACGAUUAGAUUGUUGGUGAGGUAAUGGCUCACCAAGUCGACGAUCGUUAACUGGUCUGAGAGGAUGAUCAGUCAGACUGGAACUGAGACACGGUCCAGACUCCUACGGGAGGCAGCAGUGAGGAAUCUUCCACAAUGGGCGAAAGCCUGAUGGAGCAACGCCGCGUGCAGGAUGAAGGCCUUCGGGUCGUAAACUGCUUUUAUAAGUGAAGAAUAUGACGGUAACUUAUGAAUAAGCACCGGCUAACUACGUGCCAGCCGCCGCAGUA
rnacentral:rRNA from 1 species